rnacentral:lncRNA from 1 species
GGAUUGACGAGAUUGGAAGUAAGAGCUUUGAAACGGCAUGCUCUGAUAAAACCCAACAUGGCGCUGAGAGAUACGACCGAGCUGAAUGCAUUUCUGGAGUCCGCGGACCUCGCCACCUGUAUCCUUGCGCACUGCUAAACUGUACGUUACCAGCCGCUGGGACGUUCUAUAAAGGAUGAUUGGAAACCUUAUUCUAGGGAUUUGUCACACUAAGUCGAUUUUGACGGCAUUUUCUCUCGUCUGGAAACAUAUUGACAUAUUACUGUGAAAAAGUAUUGUGCGAGUGUAAAGGAAAAACUAUAACACAUUGUUUAAUUGACUGACAAGUAAAUAACCCUUUAGCCACACUUCUGCUGAUUUAUAUCCAACGGUUUGAAUAUUCGCUGGCCCGGGAUGUCUAUGCUUUUAUAACGGAAUCGUAACCUCCACGCACGAAUAUUUGCUCAGAGCCGGGAACAACUUGGAAAAACGGGAAAAGGAAAGUCGGAAAUAGAGGAUAUUGACCAGAGCGCUGGUCGGUUGGAGGUGUUUUAAGACGGACUGUCCCAUGAGGGGAUGACAUGCUCUCCGCUACACAGAUGUACGGAACGGUUCCCCCAUGGAUGAGUCACGAGAGGGCCCAAAUGUAUGGGAUGGUCAUGGAGGAGAGGAGAGUACCUGUUAGUGAUGCGGGGACCCAGAGAAACCUGGAUUUAAGAGAAGGCAACCACAUCACACAAAGCAUGGUGCGUCAUCCAUGUAUAAGAUGUGUAUUAGUGUUAUAACACUGUUUAUAAUAAGGUUAAGAGAC